rnacentral:lncRNA from 1 species
AGGGGUUCCCAAAAAGAGAGGGAGAGAGAUGAGAGAAGAGGAAGAAGAGAGACCUGGAGAAGGACAGGACGACUGGCUGGUGGCAAGCAGAUCAGCAGGGAGUUGCCAAGAGGACACACAUGGAAAAGCACGAGCCAGGGGCCUGGAGGUAGGGGACCACCACUACCUGUGUGUUCUUGGUCUGGGAGGUGACCCUGGCAGUGAAGAUGACUACAGGGGAAAUGGAGCAGGAUCUGAUCCCAUAGAAGAGGUCUUCUGAGUCCAUCGGAAUGAUGGGAGAUUGGGUUGCAUGAUGCUUGGAAAGUUCUUAGCAUACUGCUGAUGUUGGAGGAAGUGCUUACAGUAGACUGUUGUUAUUAUCAUCAUUAGUACUGGCUAUUAUUACAAUACCCAUCACUUUUGUAGUCAUCAUCGUCUUCAUCGUCAUCAUCAUCAUUGUCAUCAUCUUCACUAGGCAUGGCCAGGUGAGGCAGAGGUGUCUACCUGGGCCCCGAAAUUUCAUACCUUCUCUUUCAUAAUAUAAGAACAGCUGCCCAGACAGGAACUACAUUUCCCAUACUCCCAUGCGUGUGUGGGACCACAUGACUAAUUCUCAUUAGUGGACUGUGAACAGAAACAUAGCACAGGACAUAACAAGAUGAGUCCACUUUCUCUCUUCUCUCCUCCUCUACCAUCUGUGGAGAACCAGAGGACUCUGAGGCCCCCUAGGGAGUCUAGUCAUCCUGACUUCAAUGACCACAGUUCAAUUUUGCUUAUUCUUGAGUAUCAUGUAAAAGGAAUCAUAUAAAUACUUAUCAUUUUUCUACCUUCAUAUUUUGUAUUUUUGUAACUUCAUAUUUAUUCUUUGCUUUGCUAUUGUGUAGUAUUUGAAUAUAUCACACUCUAUUCCUUUCAUGUUCUUAUUGCUGGGGGCUUGUACUAUCUCCAGUGUUUAAUUAUUAUAAAUAAAACCACAAUGAGUAUCUGUGUA